rnacentral:rRNA from 1 species
GACGAACGCUGGCGGCGUGCUCAACACAUGCAAGUCGAGCGGGUAAGGCCCUUUCGGGGGUACACGAGCGGCGAAACGGGUGAGUAACACGUGGGUGACCUGCCCUCAGCUCUGGGAUAAGCCCGGGAAACUGGGUCUAAUACCGGAUAUGACUUCAUGACGCAUGUUGUGGAGUGGAAAGCCUUGUGCGGCUGAGGAUGGGCCCGCGGCCUAUCAGCUUGUUGGUGGGGNGAUGGCCUACCAAGGCGACGACGGGGUAGCCGGCCUGAGAGGGCGACGGCCACACUGGGACUGAGAUACGGGCCCA